GACGUAGGGCGCGAGCGUUGUCCGGAAUUACUGGGCGUAAGCGCACGUAGGCGGAUUGUUAAGUCGGGGGUGAAAUCCUGAGGCUCAACCUCAGAACUGCCUUCGAUACUGGCAAUCUCGAGUCCGGAAGAGGUUGGUGGAACAGCUAGUGUAGAGGUGAAAUUCGUAGAUAUUAGCUAGAACACCAGUGGCGAAGGCGGCCAACUGGUCCGGUACUGACGCUGAGGUGCGAAAGCGUGGGAGCAAACAGG
rnacentral:rRNA from 1 species